GUCCUCCGUGAUCUCUGCGGCAUCCUCAGCAGGGAGCACCAUGGUGCCUGUGGAGAAGAGCAGAGACUGCGAGACAGGGGAAGAAAGAAGCAUCAGGUAGCUGAGAUGGCUCUGCUGCUUCUCCUACCGCAUGUACGGACUGCCAGGGACCAGGGAGCACAAUGAUGGACACCGUAUUAGCAAGCUCACUAACCCAGGUUGUGGUCACAAAGCAGAGGAGGCUCUGAGUCCGAGAGAGUGAGUUGUUGAACACAGCAGCCCAGGCUCGAGUUUGAGUCAAGCCGAUGAGCUUCAGUGCAAAGGCUGCGCUUCUACUCUCCAUCAGACACAGGACCGAAGUAGUGGAAGCUGAACAGUGAAAUGACAUGAAGACGCGCUCUCCUCUGCUGUGUGCCUGGGCAUUUCUUGCCCGGGGUUGUGCUGUUUUGGGGGCCGACACGUGCUGAGCUGGGUCGCAGCCCGCAGCCUGGACCGUGCUCGUCUGGGGGCUGCUGCCCGAGUCUCUGCCCGGGGAAGGUGGUGUCGGGUGCGUGCGGAGCCGGGUCCCUUCCAGGAUCCAGCCCAGGGAGCAGGGAAGUGGAGCUGUGCAGAAACAUCGGACGCUCCUCUGGCCUUGCAGGUUUGCUCCAGGUACCCCCGCACUCCUGGGUGAGUGGGUGGCUGGGGCUGGGUGUUUCUUUCCCUUUUUUUUCUUUUUUUUUUCUUUUUUUUUUUUUUUUUUGUCAGAUUGGUAUUUUAUUUGGCUCCAUACUGUCUACCGAGCUGUCCAGUGUAACCCUUCCCUUGCUGCUUCUGAGAUAAGAAUAGGCUCCCCCGAGAUCAGAUAAACAGGCCC